AUUGAACGCUGGCGGCAGGCCUAACACAUGCAAGUGGAGCGGAUGACGGGAGCUUGCUCCUUGAUUCAGCGGCGGACGGGUGAGUAAUGCCUAGGAAUCUGCCUGGUAGUGGGGGACAACGUUUCGAAAGGAGCGCUAAUACCGCAUACGUCCUACGGGAGAAAGCAGGGGACCUUCGGGCCUUGCGCUAUCAGAUGAGCCUAGGUCGGAUUAGCUAGUUGGUGGGGUAAUGGCUCACCAAGGCGACGAUCCGUAACUGGUCUGAGAGGAUGAUCAGUCACACUGGAACUGAGACACGGUCCAGACUCCUACGGGAGGCAGCAGUGGGGAAUAUUGGACAAUGGGCGAAAGCCUGAUCCAGCCAUGCCGCGUGUGUGAAGAAGGUCUUCGGAUUGUAAAGCACUUUAAGUUGGGAGGAAGGGCAGUAAGUUAAUACUUUGCUGUUUUGACGUUACCGACAGAAUAAGCACCGGCUAACUCUGUGCCAGCCGCCGCGGUAAAAC
rnacentral:rRNA from 1 species